GACGAACGCUGGCGGCGUGCCUAAUACAUGCAAGUUGAGCGCUGAAGGUUGGUACUUGUACCGACUGGAUGAGCAGCGAACGGGUGAGUAACGCGUGGGGAAUCUGCCUUUGAGCGGGGGACAACAUUUGGAAACGAAUGCUAAUACCGCAUAAAAACUUUAAACACAAGUUUUAAGUUUGAAAGAUGCAAUUGCAUCACUCAAAGAUGAUCCCGCGUUGUAUUAGCUAGUUGGUGAGGUAAAGGCUCACCAAGGCGAUGAUACAUAGCCGACCUGAGAGGGUGAUCGGCCACAUUGGGACUGAGACACGGCCCAAACUCCUACGGGAGGCAGCAGUAGGGAAUCUACGGCAAUGGACGAAAGUCUGACCGAGCAACGCCGCGUGAGUGAAGAAGGUUUUCGGAUCGUAAAACUCUGUUGGUAGAGAAGAACGUUGGUGAGAGUGGAAAGCUCAUCAAGUGACGGUAACUACCCAGAAAGGGACGGCUAACUACGUG
rnacentral:rRNA from 1 species